AGGAUUAGAUACCCUGGUAGUCCACGCCGUAAACGAUGUCGACUUGGAGGUUGUGCCCUUGAGGUGUGGCUUCCGGAGCUAACGCGUUAAGUCGACCGCCUGGGGAGUACGGCCGCAAGGUUAAAACUCAAAUGAAUUGACGGGGGCCCGCACAAGCGGUGGAGCAUGUGGUUUAAUUCGAUGCAACGCGAAGAACCUUACCUGGUCUUGACAUCCACGGAAGUUUUCAGAGAUGAGAAUGUGCCUUCGGGAACCGUGAGACAGGUGCUGCAUGGCUGUCGUCAGCUCGUGUUGUGAAAUGUUGGGUUAAGUCCCGCAACGAGCGCAACCCUUAUCCUUUGUUGCCAGCGGUCCGGCCGGGAACUCAAAGGAGACUGCCAGUGAUAAACUGGAGGAAGGUGGGGAUGACGUCAAGUCAUCAUGGCCCUUACGACCAGGGCUACACACGUGCUACAAU
rnacentral:rRNA from 1 species